rnacentral:rRNA from 1 species
UAGUCCACGCCCUAAACGAUGUCAACUAGACGUUGGGCUCAUAUAGGAGCUUAGUGUCGAAGCUAACGCGUUAAGUUGACCGCCUGGGGAGUACGGCCGCAAGGUUGAAACUCAAAGGAAUUGACGGGGGCCCGCACAAGCGGUGGAGCAUGUGGUUUAAUUCGAUGCAACGCGUAAGAACCUUACCAGCCCUUGACAUCCUGGGAAUCUCUAAGAGAUUAGAGAGUGCCUUCGGGAAUCCAGAGACAGGUGCUGCAUGGCUGUCGUCAGCUCGUGUCGUGAGAUGUUGGGUUAAGUCCCGCAACGAGCGCAACCCUUAUUUUUAGUUGCCUUAUGGAACUCUAAAAAGACCUGCCGGUCAUAAACCGGAGGAAGGCGGGGAUGACGUCAAGUCAGCAUGCCCCUUACACCCUUGGGCUACACACGUGCUACAAUGGGCGAGACAAUGAGAUGCAAGCCUGCGAAGGUUAGCUAAUCUAUAAACUCGUUCUAAGUUCGGAUUGUAGGCUGCAACUCG